GGCUUCUCUUCAAUUGUCGAAUAAAUCUUUCGCCUUUUACUAAAGAUUUCCGUGGAGAGGGGCACUCUAAUGAGUCUAAACUGAAUUUUUUCGUAGUUCCUGGCGACUUCGGUUGCCGGGACAAUCAAGAAUGAAUGCCAAAAUCGAAUGGGGCUUUUUGAUUUGAGCCAACUUUGUUAGUUGUUUGUUAGCAAUUUCAUGUUAUGGGCAUAAACAAACAAAUAGAGGCUAACCAGACUGGACUCUGGGGGGCAAUAGUGAGAUAAAAAGUACAUUUUAUUGUACACUUGCCUUAGCAUAAAGUGAUGUAAUUGUACUUGGGUAAGGUUCGAGCCGUGAACAGCGCUAAAGACUGCUCUGUGCCUCGCAUACUAAAAGCAAUUGGGGAAGGAACGCCAACGCCCGACAAAGAAACACGCGAUUGUCGUCUGCCCCACGUCUGCUGGACAUAUUAAAUAUGCACAUUCAACAUUUUAAUUAGGCAUUUGAUGCGACUGUACGAAGAGUGGUUCGACGGAUGUAUUGCCAAACGGAAGUUAAUUCCCAAUAUUCUGGAGAAAUAAUACGUUCUGAUCUUAGCCAUCCAAAACUCGGGCUUUGCAUAGAAAACUUUGCAAGUUAUCACGUCCCUAGACAACCUUGAGCAUCGAAUUGAACACCACUUCCAAAUUUCUCAAGUUCAUGAAUAAUUUUACGCGGCCUAUUCCCCAACACGCAGUACGUAUAAAUGCCUGCGAAGAUUUAUAACUGACCCACAUUUCUCAUGAAUAAUACCCACCCCGUACCCCGUAGAAAAGGUUGCCAGACAAUGCCCUGUAUGGCCUCGCACCCGCAGUCCCUCUCAAACUGCAGACGUGCCCUGCAGCUUGAUCUAAAAACAGGGAUGGGAAAGAGUUGUGAGGCAACCGGGCCUGACAGUUUCCUCAUUGUUCCUCUGACAGAUUUGUGGGUGCAAUCGAUAGAUGGAUGCUGACGUGGUUCGUGUGGGUAUGCGGCUGAAGACACAGACAGAAUAUAACUCGGAAAUGCUUUGAGUUUUCUUGUAAGAGACUUAGGCAAUCGAAUAUUAUUGUAAGCUUUACUAAAUUUAAUGACAAAUUAAGACCAAUACAUACUCAAAAAUUUAAAUG